AGAAUCAACGCUGGCGGCGUGCCUAACACAUGCAAGUCGAACGCGAAAGGGGCGCAAGCCCUGAGUAGAGUGGCAAACGGGUGAGUAACACGUGGGUGACCUGCCUUCGAGUGGGGGAUAACGUUCCGAAAGGAACGCUAAUACCGCAUGACAUCCUGCGUUUGGAAACGCGGACAUCAAAGCUGGGGAUCGCAAGACCUGGCGCUCGGAGAGGGGCCCGCGGCUGAUUAGCUAGUUGGUGGGGUAAUGGCUCACCAAGGCGACGAUCAGUA
rnacentral:rRNA from 1 species